rnacentral:rRNA from 1 species
GAUGAACGCUGGCGGCGUGCCUAAUACAUGCAAGUCGAGCGAACAGACGAGGAGCUUGCUCCUCUGACGUUAGCGGCGGACGGGUGAGUAACACGUGGAUAACCUACCUAUAAGACUGGGAUAACUUCGGGAAACCGGAGCUAAUACCGGAUAAUAUAUUGAACCGCAUGGUUCAAUAGUGACAGACGGUUUUGCUGUCACUUAUACAUGGAUCCGCGCCGCAUUAGCUAGUUGGUAAGGUAACGGCUUACCAAGGCAACGAUGCGUAGCCGACCUGAGAGGGUGAUCGGCCACACUGGAACUGAGACACGGUCCAGACUCCGACGGGAGGCAGCAGUAGGGAAUCUUCCGCAAUGGGCGAAAGCCUGACGGAGGAACGCCGCGUGAGUGAUGAAGGUCUUCGGAUGGGAAAACUCUGUUAUUAGGGAAGAACAAAUGUGUAAGUAACUAUGCACGUCUUGACGGUACCUAAUCAGAAAGCCACGGCUAACUACGUG